rnacentral:rRNA from 1 species
GACGAACGCUGGCGGCGUGCCUAAUACAUGCAAGUAGAACGCAGUUGCGAACGGGGGAGGAACGCGUAGGUAACGGCCUCAUAGCGGGGGAUAACUAUUGGAAACGCUAGGUAAUACCGCAUACUGUGAGAUGGACCUGAGUUGUAUUUGCUAGUUGGUGAGGUAAAGGCUCACCAAGGGGACGAUCCAGAGCCGACCUGAGAGGGUGGUCCGCCACACCUGGACUGUGACACGGCCCAGGACCCUUCGGGGAGGCGGCGUAGGGGAUCUUCGGCAAUGGGCGGAAGGCUGGCCCAGCCACGGCGCGUGGGUUGAGAAGGUUUUCCGAUCGGUAAGCCCUGUUGUUAGGGGAACGGUAUCUAACCAGAAAGGGACGGCUAACUACGUGCCAGCAGCCGCGGUAAUAC